UACGUAGGGGGCAAGCGUUGUCCGGAAUCAUUGGGCGUAAAGAGCGCGUAGGCGGUCCGGUAAGUCCGCUCUGAAAGUCCGGGGCUCAACCCCGGGAGGCGGGCGGAUACUGUCGGGCUAGAGUCCGGAAGAGGCGAGUGGAAUUCCUGGUGUAGCGGUGAAAAUGCGCAGAUAUCAGGAGGAACACCGAUGGCGAAGGCAGCUCGCUGGGACGGUACUGACGCUGAGGCGCGAAAGCGUGGGGAGCAAACAGG
rnacentral:rRNA from 1 species